AGUGUUAACGAGCUAUGAUGAAAAACACAAAACAUCAGCAACUUCCCAUUAGUUCUGGUUUCCAGAAGUGGAAAACCUGGCCCCCUCUACAAACAGUAACAAAGAACGUUUUAUUAUGCUCUGCUUUCGGGUAUGAAGAGCCACAGAACGAUUGCAUAAGGGACUGCACAUUUAUACCAUUGACUGCAUACGUGACCUACAAAUAGGAAGAAAGGAAUCUGCCCAACACAUCCAAGUUGUACAAGCACACGCAACCCUCACCAUAGUGAUUCUAGUUAUAAAUCCACCAACUUCAUAUGGGAGACCAGGAGGCAACAGCUUUGGUACCUGAAUAACACGUUCAUACUUUGCAACUGAAAGAUGCAGACAAAUUAGAUCGAAUUCAGAGACCUGGAGCAUGUGACUUAUGAAGAGGCUGGGAGUGCUGAACAACUGCAGCAGGGAUGCGUAAAGUAGGUGACUAAUGAUCCACUAUGGCCGAAACAGCGAGGUGUGGAAAUGAAGUUAACUGUUUCUUAAGAGCAGCUUGAGCAAAGCCACAUUUAGAACAAUGCCUCGUCAGAGUUGGAGAUCCCGCUAAAGCUGAGGUCAAGCUGCUGUAAUGGAGAGAAACAGCAGUUCAGUCACAGCUCAAGAACACGAAAGUGACUGGAAAAGCUUAGCAGGGUAAGUAAGGGUCUUCAGAAGAAAAGUGAAGUGCAAGAACACAAGAACUCUCUCUCUGAAGCUUAAAGGUGCAGACUGCAAUGGAAGAGUAUCAAACUCUGAAAGAGGUAAAUCCAAGUUACUGUUCCACAUCCAAGUUCUCUACUUUAAUUCCUGUUUGACAUCUUCAGGUUACCCAAGAGGCAGUCUCAAAAUCUUUUGGAGGAACAACUGCCUUUGAUGUACUGAGAAAGCACUUAUUUUUUUCCAUAUUUAAUGCUGUCUGGUUCAGUUCCCUCGGAGUACAGUUUUAUGAAGAUAGAAAAGGUUAACUGUUGUAAGAUUAGCCUUUGCAGACUGUUUCAUUUCUAAUUAGCAUCAAAUAUGGGAAGUUGGUUGAAAAGAAGGGGAAGUUUCAGACUAGGGACAUCAUCUCUUCCCCUUGAUUUGAGACGGAGUGAGAGAGAUGAGCGUCCUGCCUAACAUCUUGAAGGCUCUGUGAAACUGGUGAAUGAGUGCUAAAUAUGCCUUUGCGUGGUUGAGCUCAUGCCAAGCCUCUGUACUGUGAAUGCAACCAAGUUCCCUUGGGCAGGCCAACAGCUGUAUGGCCUGAAUCCCGGUUUCCACUUCUCCACAGUUCCACAGAACACUGGCUGAAAGACAGCUGGAGCUUAAAACUCUUACAGAUAUUCAAAAUAUGGUACCUGCCCAGUAUCUUGUGCAGCUCCAUUUAAUGGAAAAAUAGCAUUCAGUAGAAGAAAUGUCAUGACUCCAAUCAACUAAAUAAGGUAACAGCACUAUGAUUUUUAAGGCCUACCAUUGACGUUGUUUUGUCUCUGCUCUGAAAUUUCUCAUUUCUAAUAUAUAAAUCUUUAAUUAGCUUACAUUCCAGGUUACAUAACAGCUGCCCCUUAAAAGACUGUAACCAGAGACUACGGUGACAAAAACUAUUGAUUGUACAUCUUAAAACAAUACUAUCAUCACUUCAGUUAGCUAGUUUUGCAGUAAGCUCUAUAUGAAGAUGAAACAUGAUGCAACUUAUGGUCCAUAUUGGGAGGGUGAGUGCUUAGACUGACCCUCUUCAAAAAGUCCUGUUAAGAGAGCCCUAACACAUGUCUUGAGAUCACCAUUAACUACACUUGCACAAUGAAUUAUAUGAUAAGCUCCAAAUUAGCUAUCACUACUCAGGAAAAAUAGCAUAGUCAUCACUACUGCAAAUCUCAGUGCCUCCAUUAGUAGGAAAUGCAGCAAUAGGAGUUUUUCAGAAAUGAAUAGUGAGCAUCACUAUUGUCAGUCCAGAAAUGCAUGGUCAACUACCUUUAAAACCUUGCAUGUAAUUUGAAUCAUCUUCCCUCAAGAACGGGGUGGCUGAACUAAUAAGAGGCAUGAGAAGGUCAGCAAGAAUGAUCAGAGGUACUGAAAAAGUACUACGCAAAGCAAUUCUCUACAGUCCAAGACUGUUCACCACCUUGGAGGACAGAUGCUUAGAGGAAGAGGAAUGGCACAUGAGAGGACUAUGAAGCUAAGGAAAUGGUUGAAGGGGUAAACACAAAGGACACCUACUUUCAGAAAAAAAGAUUCUGGAGCUCAGGUAAAUUAAUGAGCAGCAAAAUUUAAGCUAACAAAGGUACAUACUUUUCACACAAACAAUUAAGUCACGUCACUCUGUCAAAGAACGUAAUAGAGGCUGUAAGUAUAAUUAAUUCUGGCAUCAAGAUUAUACAGUUUCAGUAAGCUUCACAGUCUAAGGAAAUAGAUAUAUCUACAGAGAUAUACACACACGCAUAUGUAGGAAAGGAUAUUAGGUGUUUUCAGAUACACAAUACAUGACAAUUCUAUUUCAGAAGUUCUGAAAUUGCUGUAUAUUAGCAGCUCCCAUUUUAGAUUAGUUGAACAGACUGAGGUGACAAUUACACCAUUUAAUUAACUGAAAAUCUUAUUUUGAUGGAGAACAAGCAAGAAUUGGUGAGUGGAUUCUCAAUCUAGAUAAAUGUAAAUUUAUGCCUAACACUGAAAGUGUUAAUGACUUACUUGGAAUGACUUACCAAAUGAAACGGUACAGUCUAUCUCCUGGUGUAUUCAAUCCAGAUAAGAGCUAUGCUGGUUCAAAUAAAAGUUACUGGAACUGAUUUUACCAGUUUUCAUGCCCUCAUCUGGUCCAAAAUCUGGAUGGCUACAUAUUUCUUAGUUUUAACCCACAAUUUUUGGGCUAAUCAUUCCUUUGGUUUUGGCUGAAUAUCGCUUCAGGUUGAUUGCGCUGCAUGAUUACUAACAGAGAAAAUACAAGAGACAGAAACAGCGUUUGGUAGACCCAAUCCAAACAGAAAGCUUCAGCAUGAGAUGCAGAACUCUUGUGUAAAUCACUACCUUUGGCAUGACUCAAGCUACUGCAUUACAUGUAGCUAAGUCUUUGUCCUUAUGUCCAAUUAUGUCGUUAGGCUCUUUGUCCAAUUCUAGUAAUUGCUGAUACACAACAAAACCAAGAAAAUCUCAGCUAUAAUUAACCACUCAGGAUGGUUUGUAUGCACAGAGUCCAGCCAGAACGCACAAGAGACUCUGCAGAACAUGAAUAUGCUGAAGUUAAAUGGUUCAUGGGCUGGGGUAAUCCUUUUUACAGAAUUACAGAAUGGUUGAGGUUGGAAGGGACCUCUGGAGAUCCUCUAGUCCAACCCCCCAUCUCACCUAAAGCAAUCUUUGCCACCUCAUCCAUAGCUCCAGUAGAGAGGGCAGCACUGACCCCAACCUGUUAGAAAGACAGUGAAAAGAGGGGGAGCACAUCAUACGAGAUGUGGUUCAUGACAGGAUGGAUCCUCUACUCAGAGGAUCUCUGAGAAUCAAGAAUGCGUAGGUGACUUGGUAUGGCCCCAGCAUAUGUUUGGGAUUCCAGGCUUAAAAAAAUCCCAAGCCUUCUGGUGAGACACU